UGUGGGGUGGUGUAUAGGCACGUAAAAUUUUGGAUUUUAAGGUAUUAAAGCGGUUUAUUCCCCACAG
rnacentral:tRNA from 1 species